GGAACUCGGGGUUGGAGCGGGGCUGGAUCCGCGUUGGAACUCGGAGCCGGAGCUCGGGGCUGGAGCGGGGCCGCGCACACGCCGAGAAGAGCUCGCAGAGAGCUCGGAGUGAGUGACCUGAUUUAAUUGGCAGCACUUCAAUGGCAUCGAGUCCCUGCCCGGCCCCCCUCAGCAGAGCCCUUCUGCAGGCACCGAACGGGAGCUGGGCUCGGCUUCAGCGGCGCUGCCGGGCUUGGCAGCGCGUCCCCGCGGUCAGGGGGGCUCAGCUGCGCCGGCCCCUCCAGGAUCCUCCUACAGCAAAAGGAAAAAUCGGAGGAUUCAGCCAGCACUGGGUCAUGCGAGGAAAUAACCCGUUUAUUUUUCCCAAAUCCCGUUAGCAUCCUGUGGAAAGCACUGAGGAGCUCCCGGUGGGCUGGGAAAGCCCUUCCAGGUGGAUUUUAUGGGCUGGAAAAGCCCUUCCAUGUGGAUUUGGUGGGCUGGGAAAGCCCUUCCAGGCAGAUUUCGUGCCCAUGCCCGCUGCCAGGGCUGGGGACACCUGGAGCACGGGUUGGUUUGAAAUCCACUGUGUUGUGGGGCUGGCAGGGAAAUACCCCUUGAAAUUUCCCAAAUGCCUGUGGAAGGUUCCUGGUGGUCUGGAAAAGCCCUUCCAGGUGGAUUUGGUGGACUGGAAAAGCCCUUCCAGGUGGAUUUUAAGGCUGGGAAAGCCCUUUCAGGUGGAUUUUGUGUCCGUGCCCGGUGCUCCAGACAUUCCCGGGGUGUGGAGAAGCAUUUCCCGGGUGUCCCGGAGCCCAGUCCCUGCCCCAUCCGGCCUCGCCCGGCUCCUGCCGUGCUGCUGCAGAGGCUGAGUAAUUCCUGAGGCUCCCGAGAUGCUCCUCAGGCAGCCGAGCACGUCCCGAUCCAGGUUUUAAUUGCGUGGGAUUGCAGCCGAGAUGGCUCUGAUUUAUCCUCCCUGCUGCGCCAGCACUUCCCCCCGGCCGGCUCCGGGAUCCUCCUGGAGAAUAUUCCCUGGGAAAGGGUUAAAUAUGUUCCUUGGAGUAGGAAAAAAACCAAAAUCUUGGUGUCUGGAGUGGGAUUUUCCCUCUCACGCUUGUGGGGUUGCGAGAUUCCCGUUUUUUUUUCCUUUGGACACGAGGUGAGCUCCUGGGGGAGCUGCCCUGAGGAAUUUUCCUGGAAUCGGGGGAUUUAGAGGGUUAAGCCAGGCUCAGCCAAGCUCAGCUCUACCAGACCUGGAUGAUCAAAGGGCUCCAGCGCCUUUUAUUUUCUUCUGGAUCAGGAAAACCUCAUGGAUGGAGGAACCCUGCAGGCAUCCCAAAUCCCAUUUUUAACUCUGCUUCCCCAUCCCAAAUUUAAGCAAAUUCCCAUAAAUUUGGGGUGAUCCAAGGUCAUUCCUGUGUCAGGGAUGGGAAUGGGAUCCCAUCCCCUUUCCCAAGCUGGAGGUGAAUUCCCAAAUCUUGAGCCUUAAAUUCAGGGCUGUCCCAUUCCCUUUGCACAUUCCAAGAAUUCCCCACUUUUUCGCCCCUUCCCAAAUUCCAUUUUUAAUCCUAAAUCACAGCAGCCUCCCCAAAUUCCCACCUCUUGCUUGUUCCCAUGAAGAGAUCCCGGAAUCCUCUGGAAAACCCUUCCCAUGAUCCAGAGGUGGGGAAUGUUCCUCUGCUUCCUUUAUUCCCUGCAUUUUGGGGCUGCUUUAUGGCCGCCAUAAAAGCUGCCCAUAAAUCAGGGCCGAUCCCAUAAAAACCGGGAAUAAGCGGAAUUAGGGCCUGAAUGGGAGCGGCUCCUUCUGCCAGCACUGGGAAUGUGCCGGGAUUUAUCCUUUCCUCAUUCCCAGACAUCUUCACGUCCACCUUGGGAAGAAAUUCCAAGGGUGAACACACCUGGUGGGGCUCCCUGUUUAUGGGGUUUUUUAUGGAGAAUAUGGGAUUUUUUUAUGGAUAACAUGGUAUUUCUUUACGGAUAACAUGGGGAUUUUUAUGGAUAACAUGGGGAAUUUUUUUAUGGAUAAUAAGGGAUUUUUUAAUGGAUAACAUGGGGAGUUUUUUAUGGAUAAUGAGGAUUUUUUAAUGGGUAAUGGGGUUUUUUUAUGGAUAAUGUGGGAAUUUUUAUGGAUAACACAGGUUUUUUUUAUGGAUAACAUGGGGAGUUUUUUCAUGGAUAAUGAGGGUUUUUUAUGGAUAAUGUUGGAAUUUUUAUGGAUAACAUGUUUUUUUAUGGAUAACAUGGGAUUUUUUUAUGAAUAACAUGGGAUUUUUUUAAUGGA